rnacentral:rRNA from 1 species
UACGUAGGUGGCAAGCGUUAUCCGGAAUCAUUGGGCGUAAAGGGUGCGUAGGCGGCUUAUUAAGCUUGUAGUGAAAUCGUAGAGCUCAACUCUAUUAAGCUACGAGAACUGGUAGGCUAGAGUGCGGUAGAGGCAAGUGGAAUUCCAUGUGUAGCGGUAAAAUGCGUAGAUAUAUGGAGGAACACCGGUGGCGAAGGCGGCUUGCUGGGCCGUAACUGACGCUGAGGCACGAAAGCGUGGGGAGCAAAUA